rfam:Schistosoma mansoni, Puerto Rico, WGS project CABG01000000 data, contig: 0154
GCACUGCUGUGGAGUCCCACAAUAGGACGAAACGGCCGUCCAGUGU